rnacentral:rRNA from 1 species
GGUCUGAUAACUGGGGUGAAGUCGUAACAAGGUAGCCGUAUCGGAAGGUGCGGCUGGAUCACCUCCUUUCUAAGGAA